UACAGAGGUCCCAAGCGUUGUUCGGAUUCAUUGGGCGUAAAGGGUGCGUAGGCGGCGCGGUAAGUCGGGUGUGAAAUCUCCGGGGCUUAACUCCGAAACUGCAUUCGAUAACUGCCGUGCUUGAGGACUGGAGAGGAGACUGGAAUUUACGGUGUAGCGGUGAAAUGCGUAGAUAUCGUAAGGAAGACCAGUGGCGAAGGCGGGUCUCUGGACAGUUCCUGACGCUGAGGCACGAAGGCCAGGGGAGCAAACGGG
rnacentral:rRNA from 1 species